GGAUUUAAUCACAAAUUGUUUCCGUACACUGUCGCACUACAAUUCACGGCGCAAACGAAUACUCCACGGGUUAACCAAUAUGUUUUUCCCUGUCAGCAUCAAUAUAGACAUGACACUAAAUCAGCUGAUCGGGUGUUCGCGGUUUACCUGUGAUCGAAAUUCCGAACUUUCCAGAAACACGGAAACGAGUCCGCAUACCAA